rnacentral:rRNA from 1 species
AGAGGGGGCAAGCGUUGUUCGGAAUUACUGGGCGUAAAGGGCGCGUAGGCGGCCUGCUAAGUCGAACGUGAAAUCCCCGGGCUCAACCCGGGAACUGCGUCCGAUACUGGUUGGCUUGAAUCCGGGAGAGGGAUGUGGAAUUCCAGGUGUAGCGGUGAAAUGCGUAGAUAUCUGGAGGAACACCGGUGGCGAAGGCGGCAUCCUGGACCGGUAUUGACGCUGAGGCGCGAAAGCCAGGGGAGCAAACGGGAUUAGAUACCCCGGUAGUCCUGGCCCUAAACGAUGAAUGCUUGGUGUGGUGGGUAUCGAUCCCUACCGUGCCGAAGCUAACGCAUUAAGCAUUCCGCCUGGGGAGUACGGUCGCAAGGCUGAA